rnacentral:rRNA from 1 species
GUGGAUUAGAUACCCCGGUAGUCCACGCCGUAAACGAUGGAUACUAGGUGUAGGAGGUAUCGACCCCUUCUGUGCCGCAGUUAACACAAUAAGUAUCCCACCUGGGGAGUACGAUCGCAAGAUUGAAACUCAAAGGAAUUGACGGGGGCCCGCACAAGCAGUGGAGUAUGUGGUUUAAUUCGAAGCAACGCGAAGAACCUUACCAGGUCUUGACAUCCUUGGAAUCCUUAAGAGAUUAGGGAGUGCCUUCGGGAGCCAAGAGACAGGUGGUGCACGGCCGUCGUCAGCU